rnacentral:rRNA from 1 species
GAUGAACGCUGGCGGCGUGCCUAAUACAUGCAAGUCGAGCGAACGGACGAGAAGCUUGCUUUUCUGAUGUUAGCGGCGGACGGGUGAGUAACACGUGGAUAACCUACCUAUAAGACUGGGAUAACUUCGGGAAACCGGAGCUAAUACCGGAUAAUAUUUUGAACCGCAUGGUUCAAAAGUGAAAGACGGUCUUGCUGUCACUUAUAGAUGGAUCCGCGCUGCAUUAGCUAGUUGGUAAGGUAACGGCUUACCAAGGCAACGAUGCAUAGCCGACCUGAGAGGGUGAUCGGCCACACUGGAACUGAGACACGGUCCAGACUCCUACGGGAGGCAGCAGGAGGGAAUCUUCCGCAAUGGGCGAAAGCCUGACGGAGCAACGCCGCGUGAGUGAUGAAGGUCUUCGGAUCGUAAAACUCUGUUAUUAGGGAAGAACAUAUGUGUAAGUAACUGUGCACAUCUUGACGGUACCUAAUCAGAAAGCCACGGCUAACUACGUG